rnacentral:lncRNA from 1 species
ACUCUUGCUAGUAGCUCUCUCAUGUGGUUGGCUGACUGAGUCACAUGAGAGAGGCAUUCCAUUCUGUUGUGACUGUUACUCAAGUAACUGUUGACUUUAACUGUUUUUCUCUCUCUGUGUGUGACAGAGAAUGGCUGCUGAAAGUGGUUUCUCUGGAUGAUGUUGAAGCAGUGUGUGUUGGUGUGGUUUGUCUAGGGUGAAGAUCCCUAAAUGUUAAUAAGGAAAAACCUGUGCUCUCUGUAAGGAACAAAGUGUGUAAGCAUGAGAUUGUAGUUAAAUUAUUCUCAGUUAUAUGUUUAUGAAAGUAAAGAUCUUUUGAAUGUCUGGAUAUUGCAGAUCAUCAAUAUACAUACACGACAGAGGGUGCUGGAUGAUAUGGGAUCUGUUACAAUGUUGACCUUCAUUUCAUGCUUUUGUUGAGUUAAGAGAUGCUUAACGUUUGGGGCUGCUAAGCCCAGGGUUAGCAGACAUAGCAUAGGUAACAUGCUGUAAUAUGCUGUUUUCUCCCAGUGCAUCUAAGUCACAUUCAAAUGUCCUACCUCUGGGAGGAAAUAAAAAACCUAAUAUACUCUUUUCUGAUCCUUUUCUUUUCAGAUUAAGAAGCUUUAACUGGAUUGUGUUGAUCCUACGAAGUGAAGUAGGUACAGAGGAUUUUCUCUGUUAUAUUACUGGUAACAGAAGUUUACAAAGCCAGCCAUCUCUCGUGUUCCUCUGUGACAUUUCUUAAAUGCACAGUGGUGAAUUAUAAAAGGUAUUGUUCAGAUCCAAAUCAUCUCAGAGGUGUUUGUUCUCUGCUAAUGUCCUGUUUUCCAGACAGCUAAGCCUGGUGCCAAUUUGGAGCUCGCUUUUCCAUCAGAUAUUGAUUCAGAAAUUCUGUGGCGUUUUUUUGUUUUCUUGGUUCUUUUUUUUAUUCAAGCUUAGUGACCUCCAUAAGCUUUAUAUGUCUUUUCAUGAGCAACGGUGGUAGGCCUAAGGUAUACAUCCUUAGAAUAACAGGAGUACCAAGAGAGAAGCCUCAAAAGGAAGCUCAGCGCUGUUAAGCAUGCAGGGGUUUUGACUCCUCACCCUGUCUGGCCUGCAUGUUUCUGAUCUCCAAAAUACAGUGUGAAAUCUAAUGAAAAGAAUCUCUCUUUCAAAAUUUCCAGUUGACCUAGAAAUGUUUUGGGAACAGUGAUACGUGCAUUCCCCAGCUUUCCUGGGCUGAAGAACAAGUUGAAAGAGGAACAAAAGGCGAAAAGUAGCCUGGCUGUUGAAAUAAGUGGCAGGAAUUAACAACCACACAUUUUAAUUUAAAGCUCACCAAGUUCCAAGGCUUCAAUUUUGAGUGAAUGCUGAAGUCCAUUUAAAAAAUGGGCUGAGAUAGACAUACAAUAACUGAUUUGAACAUGCUGUCAGCCGAUUAUUCCCCCCCUUUCAUGUUUUCCUGCAGAUAUAAAAUAUAACAAUUCACUCCCACCCCAGAUGCAUAGAACUAUAUUUAAAACAAUUGCUCAUCUGGAUCAUUUAAUUCAACUGGUUAUUGAGUUUCUGUGUCAAUCAUUAAUGCUUUUUUAAAAAAGGAAAUAUUUUUUUUUUGCACAAAUUCAUGGAGGGUAAGGCUGUCAAAGACACAUUAGCAUUGCCAUUUCACAGAAAGUUAACACCUAGCCAGACUGGAAAAUGUCUUACUUUGGUUCAAAAAGGGUCCCUGCUGUCAAAGCUGCUUUUCUGCUAGGAGGAAAAUUCUGUUCUUUCCCAACUUCUCUGGUUCUUUCCCUACCCUCUCCUUUCUAAAGAAACAGUGAACACAUAAACAUUGCCGUUUUAUUUAUUCUUAGCACCUAAGUGACUACAUUGCAACUGGGAGGAAUGGCUACAGCAAUGUUAAAGCAUCUACUUUGCAUGCACAUGGUCCCUAGUUUUGGGGUAGGUCUGGGAAUGUCCCCUGUUGAAACACUGGAAAGCUGUUGCCAAUCAGUGUAGGCAAUACUGAUUGAAGUGGGCCAAUGGCCAAACUUAGUAUAAGGCAGCUUCCUGUGCUCCCUAUUGCACAAAUGGCACCCAGCAGCUUAUUUCUUUUGGAAUGGGGGAGGAACCACAUUUAUUGACUAGACAGAGCAAAUGAUCGCUUGAGAGUUGCAUGAGAGGUAGGGCUUUUAGCCUAGACUUGUGCAAAAGCUACCAGCCAAUAGAAGCAUAUUAUGGUGGUUCUUCCUGUGUAUCCAGCCUCAUUCAUAUUCAGGUGAAUGGCACAGCCCAGUGGAACUUAGUAAUGAGUAGGUCCCAUUGAAAAUAGCAGGAUUUCAAUUAGUCAUGACCAAGGAAACCAAUGGACUAAGUCAUGACCAGGCUAACUUACAGUGCGAUCCCAAAUAACAGACCCUCCAAGGGUCCCUAUUUUCCAGGGACAGUCCCAGAUUUACAGAAACCACCCCAGUUUCUGAUUUGAUCCUGGACUGUCCUGCUUUUCCUGAGGAUGUCCCUAUGUUCAUCAGAAAAAUAUUGGAGGGUGUGGUAGGACAUCCCUAUUUUCAUUGGAGAAAUGUUGGCGGGUAUGGACUUAUCCAAUCCCCGAGUCAUCUGAAGGCAGCCCUGUAUAGGGAAGUUUUAAAAUGUUUAAUGUUUUAUUAUGUUUUUAUAUAUGUUGGAAGCCACCCAGAGUGGCUGGGGCAACCCAGUCAGAUAUGCGGAUAUAAAUAAUAAAUUAUUAUUGUUGGAGGGCAUGAAAUAAACCAUGUCUACUCAGAAGUAAGUUUCAUUGGAUCCAAUGGGCCUUAUUCCCAGCUGAGCGUGGGUUAUAUUGAAGCUUUAGUCUGUUGGAUCACUGGGAUUUUGCCGUGACUAACUUUGACUAAAUUAGAGGGCACAAACUCUUUUCCCGGUGUUAAGGUUUCGUAAAGCUGACAAAGCCUUCCCUUUCUAUUGAGCUCAUUAAGGUAUCGUACAAAAAUGGCAUAUCUGUUGUCACGCUCUUCUAUUCUUGAAUGACAAGGUAAAUUACGUUUGCCUCUCCCCCACCUUCCUUCUUUCCGUACUACCUAAGAAUACUUCAGCCUCCACAACGGGUAUUUUUACAAGAUGCAGCAUGUCUUUUAACAAUAGGAUUCCAAAACAAAUGUACUCUGUGACGAAAAUGACAAUGACACUCUGAUGACUCAGAGGGUCCUCUCUUGGGCUAGAGACAGAUGCAAUAUGUCUAUAAAAGGAGGGGGCGCACCAUCCAUUAUUCAGCUAUGCUCCAAACUUGCCUUCGUAAUGGAAGUGUCGGAUGAGCAUCCCAGCCUGUCAGUAUUGAACCUUCCCAUUUGGGUUGCAUUCUGUUCAUUCUAUUUUCCCGAUGCUUCCCUAACUCUUCAUUUCUAUCUUAUAUUUGAGCAGUGUAAAAGCCACUUUGGAAAUAUAGCUGAAUAUAGCACUUGUUUAGCACUCAUUUCCAUGUAAUUUGCUUCUGGAGAAAACAUGUUUGCAGCUAACACAGAAAUGCACGAUAGUCUUCUGUAUUUCCAGAAGGGGCAUUUAUGUCAUGCAGAAUCAUAGAAUCUUAUAGUUGGAAGGGACCCAAGGGUCAUCCACUCUACCCCCUGCAAUGCAGGAAUCUCAACUAAAGCAUCCAUGACAGAGGGCCAUCCAACCUCUGCUUGAAAACCUCCUAGGAAGGAGAGCCCACAGCCUCUCAACGGAGACCAUUCCACUGUUGAACAGCUCUUACUGUCAGAAAGUUCUUCCUGAGGUUUAGUCUGAAUCUCCUUUCUUGUAACUUGAAGCCAUUGGUUCAAGUCCUACCCUCUAGGGCAGGAGAAAACAAGCUUGCUCCAUCUUCUAUGUGACAGCUCUUAAGAUAUUUGAUGAUGGCUAUCAUAUCUCCUCUCAGUCUUCUCUUUUCCAGGCUAAACAUGCCCAACUCCCUCAACAAUUCCUCAUAGGGGUUGUUUUCCAGAUCCUUGACCAGCUUGAUAAACAUGCCAUGAAAUCCCCUUUUACCUUUAGCCUUGUUCCCACAAGGCGGGGUGAGACCGGGACCUUUGGUCCACCAGAUGUUCCUGAACUACAUCUCCCAUCAACUCCAGGCAGCAAGGUCAAAGCUGAUAGGAUUUAUCAUUCAACAAUAUAUGGAAGGCCAAAAAUUGCUGAUGCCUGUCCUAACGUCAGGGAUGGUUCAGCUGCCGGUCAGCACGGAGACAAGCAAUAAAGUUGAUUUUUGAUUCAGGGAAUAAAACAGAGAAACCGGUGAGCAAGACAAGCCCUGGUAUAGCAUUUGCCAGAACUGACAAUCUGCGCCUCUCACUUCCCCUUAAGUCUCCUCCUUGGCAGGUUGUUUUCCAAGCAGACUUAAUCUCAAGGAGGGGACCCCUACACCCCUCUGCACAUGUUGUUCUGCUACAUGUAACAGUCUCCAUGCCUUUGGAGACAAGGCAGGAAGGGAGCUGAAUACAGUAGACUGGAAGGCUCCUGUGAAUCUGUUGCAGCCUCAGUCCCCACCUCCUCCUCAGCUCCCUGUCCUAUGUCUGCAGUGUUUUCUUCUUCCUCCCUCUCACUGAAGCCUGUUGCUUUUUCAGCAUCUAACCAUUCUGUCCUUCCCUUCAUUGUCCCACCACCACUCCCCUGGCUCUCAGCCUUCUGAGUCUUCCCUAGGAGGCUCUCCAGCUGGAGUCUCCCAGCAGUCCUCAUCAUCCAGCCAGUCCCUGACACCUAAAGAGAUGCUCAGUGUAAAUCCAGGAUCCCUGAAACAAAGAUACUGAAACAAGAUUCUCCAGCCUUGCCAUUUAGGAAACGGCUUGAACGCUCUUGCUUCAAUACUGGCAGCUACAGCAGGGCCCACUAACAGCAAUUGUAACCCGGUGUCCCCAGAUGUUUUGGACUACAACUCCCAUCACCUUUGCCCAUUGGCUGUGGUGACAGGGGCUGAUGGGAGCUGAAGUCCAAAAUAGCCAAAGGGCACCAGGUAGAGGAAAGUUGGGCUAGAAAAAACAUGGCCAUUACUAGUUUAGAAGGAUUGUGUUUUUUUAGAAAAUUGGCUAUGUGAGAAAGAGAGACAGAGAGAAGUCUCUGAAUUUUUUUUGUUUAUGGUUUUUCCCUUCCUUCGCUCCCUGUUUUUAAAAAAGAGGGCUGUUGGCUUUCUGCUACUUUUCCACACCCUCUAGUACAUAAAUAGGUGCACCUGCAACUCAUCAGCUCUCAAUCAUUUCUUUGAAUAAACCACAUGCUUUUCUCAGGAUUUGGCUGACAUCCUGCAUAUUUUAGGUCACUGGAUAUAGGCCUAUCUUUCUCAUCCGCUUUUGUUGCAAAAAUUAAGCCACCGGUGGAUUUGGGAAAAGAAGACGAAUGCAGGUUUGCUUUGAUGGAGAUGUUUUGGAACACUUGCCAGGCUCCAUGUAUUGAUCUGGUGAGAGCAGACCCGAGAGUUUCUGUCUUCCCCUUCAAGAAGCUAAUUCUAUCAAAUCAAAACAGCACAGAAUCCUGUAAUAACAACAAGGUAGAAGAGGAUAUUUUGUAAUAUAAUAACUCUGUCUGUACAUUUGAAGCAGAACAAGUGUUUUUCUGGCUCCCCACGGUCAUAAUAAAGAAAGGCAAGUUGAAGAGUCCAGGAUAAUUAUUUAGCCAUCGUAAAUAUUUAUGAAGAGCAGUGUGUUAUGUGCAACUUAAAGUGGAGUUGACAAUUGCAGCGUUCAUCAUCUCAUUUCACAUUGGCUAAAAAUAGUUAAAACUUUUUUCUCCCUGAAGAAAAGAAAAACGUUAAUCCCAAAGAUGUCUUUGGCUAAGUGAAAGGGCUUUCAAAGAUAAGAAGAAUAGAAUAAAAUAAAAGCAAAACAGAAAGCAAAAUCCUGCACGGUUUUAAUAUCAAGGGAAUAGCUACCGAGGUGUUAUUGUUGUUCUGUUCUUGUUUCGCUAAAGUAUUUUAUAUAACAAGUCUGAUACAAAUUCCAUACUGGUUACGAGAUUUGAUUUUCAAAUUCUGGCUUUCCCUUUGAGCCCAUACCAGCUGAGCAGAAAGCCAGAUGUUUGCAGCUGCAAGGAGAACUGGUGCUGAUGGGGUGUGAUGGGGAAAUGUGGAGACCAGUGGUGUUUGCACUUCGAUCCAACUCCUGAACCUUGGAUCUCUCUUUUGCCUCUUUCCCAGUGCUACAGUCCUAUCUUCCAUAGACAAAACUGAUCUGAAGCUUUGGUCCUAGCACUGCACCCAAAAUCAACAAAACUUUACUCCACAUUCA